UAAUCUUUUAUUGAAUGAGUUACUUAAGAUUGAGGAAUCAAUGUACUCCUCUAUGGAUUGUGAUAUUAGGUUCAUGAGAGGGAUAAAGUAGCAGACUGUAACAGUGUGAUAUUUUAUUCAAUUCAUUAUAUUUAAUAGCAAAAGUACAUUAGAGAUGUUGAUCUUUUUAUAAAAGAAGAAGGAUUUAAUCGACCCGUCUUGUAACACGGACCAAGGAGUCUAACAUGUAUGCGAGUAAAACUGAGUUUUGAAACUCAUCAUGCAAAAUAGAAGUAAAUUAUGGUAGGAAUAGCUUCACAAGGGGCGUAAGCACUAUCAACCGACUUGGAUGGGGCGAACCUCUGAAAGGAUUGAGUAAGAGCAUUUAUGUUAGGACCCGAAAGAUGGUGAACUAUGCCUGAGUAGGGCAAAAGUCAGAGGAAACUCUGAUGGAGGCUCGAAGGGGUUCUGACGUGGCAAAUCGAUCUUCAAACUUGGGUAUAGGGG
rnacentral:rRNA from 1 species